AUGCUCAUGUUUAUGUUGAAUUCUACUGGCCAUUCUCUAAAUCUGGGUCUGUUUGUACAAGAUGGAGUCUGUUUGUACAUGAUGGAGUCUGUUUGUACAAGAUGGAGUCUGUUUGUACAAGAUGGAGUCUGUUUGUACAAGAUGUUGUACAAGAUGGAGUCUGUACAGAUGGUCUGUUUGUACAAGAUGGAGUCUGCUGGUACAUGGAGUCUGUUUGUACAUUGGAGUUGUUUGUACAUGGAGUCUGUUUGUACAUGGAGUCUGUUUGUACAUGGAGUCUGUUUGUACAUGAUGGAGUCUGUUUGUACAUGAUGGAGUCUGUUUGUACAUGAUGGAGUCUGCUGGUACAUGGAGUUGUUUGUACAUAUGAUGGAGUCUGCUGGUACAUGAGUUAGUCUGUUUGUACAUG
rnacentral:lncRNA from 1 species